UACGUAGGGAGCAAGCGUUGUCCGGAAUCAUUGGGCGUAAAGCGCGCGUAGGUGGCCAUGUAAGUCCGCUGUGAAAGUCAAAGGCUCAACCUUUGAAAGCCGGUGGAUACUGCAUGGCUAGAGUACGGAAGAGGCGAGUGGAAUUCCUGGUGUAGCGGUGGAAUGCGCAGAUAUCAGGAGGAACACCGAUGGCGAAGGCGACUUCCUGGCCUGUUCUUGACGCUGAGGCGCGAAAGCUAGGGGAGCAAACGGG
rnacentral:rRNA from 1 species